UACGUAGGGGGCAAGCGUUGUCCGGAAUUAUUGGGCGUAAAGAGCGCGUAGGCGGUCCGAUAAGUCGGCUGUGAAAGUCAGGGGCUCAACCCUUGGAAGCCGGCCGAUACUGUCGGACUAGAGUCCGGAAGAGGCGAGUGGAAUUCCCGGUGUAGCGGUGAAAUGCGCAGAUAUCGGGAGGAACACCAAUGGCGAAGGCAGCUCGCUGGGACGUGACUGACGCUGAGACGGCGAAAGCGUGGGGAGCAAACAGG
rnacentral:rRNA from 1 species